AGAGAGAAAGAGACAGCGAAAGAGAGAGAGAGAGAGAGAGAGAGAGAGAGAGAGAGAGCGAGAAAGAGAGGGUUAACCGUAUGAAAACGACGAUGGGAUGCUCGCAUUGCGAGGAGAGUGGGGUGUGGUGGGGGUAGCAAGAGCGCAUGAACAGUGCGAGAGAGAUAGAGAGUGGGAGAGGGAGAGAGAGAGACAGAGUGAGCGAAGCCGCGAUAGGAAAAGGAGAGAGAAGCGGUAAACCGUCGGCGUAUUCUAGCGCAGUCAGCUGUGCGUGACGUCACGCGGUCGCGUCGCGAAGCGCGCGUCGCCAUCGUCGUCGCCACAGCCAGCGGCGGUAAAAGAAAGAGAGAGAGAGAGAGAGAGAACAAGUGAGCGAGAGAGAUAUUCAGUAAGCGGAGUAGUGGGGAGAAGAAGAGCGUCACGUGGUCCCAAGCGCGAAAUCACGUGGCGAGCGUUGGCCGGCAGACGCAGAAGCCGGUGCUUCCUUGCGGCUGAUUGGUCGAGUAGACGAACGUGACCAUCAUGGAUGCGCGCAUUCCAUCGGCAUGACGGCGGGCUCCGUGAAUGACCGGUUCGUCAUUCUCCAAGUGUGUUACGAUUUCUCCUCUACGUUUGUUCGCGUUCGUCCUAAACGUUCUAACGCUUAUUAUCGUUAGAAUCGAGUGUGUAAUAACAAUAACGAUAAUAACAACACAGCAACAACACAACAACAAAAUAAAGACGACGACGACGACAACGACGAGGAUGAAAGGAAAUAGUGUGAAGUCGUAACAACAAAAAAAGUACCGAUGUGUUAUAAGGAAUAAGAUUUAAGAAAAGGGAAAAGCGGAGA